UUUUUUAGGUUUGGAAUAAAUUUAUUUAAAGUAUGACCUGCUCAAUGAUUUUUAAAUAGCCGCGAUAUUUUAAUCGUGCAAAGGUAGCAUAAUAAUUUGUCUUUUUAAUGAGGACUAGAAUGAAUGGUCGGAUGAGAUAUAUACUUUCUUUUAUAUAAAUUUUUAAUUUAAAUAUUUAGUAAAAAUGCUAAGAUUGUUUAAUGGGACGAUAAGACCCUAUAGAGUUUUACUUUUUAAUAAAAAUAUAAUUUUAGUUUUAAUAUUUAUAUUUUUAUUAAAAAGUUAGGUUGGGGUGACUUCUAAAUAUAGUAAACUUUAGUAAUAUACUAUCAUUAUUUAAUGAUUUUAUGAUCCUAAAUUUUGGAUUUUUAGAAUAAAUUACCUUAGGGAUAACAGCGUAAUUUAAUUGGAAAGUUCAUAUUGAUAAUUAAGUUUGCGA
rnacentral:rRNA from 1 species